ensembl:ncRNA K05B2.8 ncRNA
AAACAGUAGCAUUGUGUAUAAACACGCCAUGACGGCAGCUAGCAUCUAGUAAUCGGUCACCGAAUCGCCGUCGCCACCGCCGUCCGCUUUUGAAUAGCGGUCAGUGCGCGUUCGUCAAUAGCUCGAUGAACCGUUACACUCUCCCAGUUUUUAGUUUCUGUUUCAUUUUCUGUUUCAUGCCUGGUUUUU